rnacentral:rRNA from 1 species
GUUAAGCGACUAAGCGUACACGGUGGAUGCCCUGGCAGUCAGAGGCGAUGAAGGACGUGCUAAUCUGCGAUAAGCGUCGGUAAGGUGAUAUGAACCGUUAUAACCGGCGAUUUCCGAAUGGGGAAACCCAGUGUGUUUCGACACACUAUCAUUAACUGAAUCCAUAGGUUAAUGAGGCGAACCGGGGGAACUGAAACAUCUAAGUACCCCGAGGAAAAGAAAUCAACCGAGAUUCCCCCAGUAGCGGCGAGCGAACGGGGAGCAGCCCAGAGCCUGAAUCAGUGUGUGUGUUAGUGGAAGCGUCUGGAAAGGCGCGCGAUACAGGGUGACAGCCCCGUACACAAAAAUGCACAUGCUGUGAGCUCGAUGAGUAGGGCGGGACACGUGGUAUCCUGUCUGAAUAUGGGGGGACCAUCCUCCAAGGCUAAAUACUCCUGACUGACCGAUAGUGAACCAGUACCGUGAGGGAAAGGCGAAAAGAACCCCGGCGAGGGGAGUGAAAAAGAACCUGAAACCGUGUACGUACAAGCAGUGGGAGCACGCUUAGGCGUGUGACUGCGUACCUUUUGUAUAAUGGGUCAGCGACUUAUAUUCUGUAGCAAGGUUAACCGAAUAGGGGAGCCGAAGGGAAACCGAGUCUUAACUGGGCGUUAAGUUGCAGGGUAUAGACCCGAAACCCGGUGAUCUAGCCAUGGGCAGGUUGAAGGUUGGGUAACACUAACUGGAGGACCGAACCGACUAAUGUUGAAAAAUUAGCGGAUGACUUGUGGCUGGGGGUGAAAGGCCAAUCAAACCGGGAGAUAGCUGGUUCUCCCCGAAAGCUAUUUAGGUAGCGCCUCGUGAAUUCAUCUCCGGGGGUAGAGCACUGUUUCGGCAAGGGGGUCAUCCCGACUUACCAACCCGAUGCAAACUGCGAAUACCGGAGAAUGUUAUCACGGGAGACACACGGCGGGUGCUAACGUCCGUCGUGAAGAGGGAAACAACCCAGACCGCCAGCUAAGGUCCCAAAGUCAUGGUUAAGUGGGAAACGAUGUGGGAAGGCCCAGACAGCCAGGAUGUUGGCUUAGAAGCAGCCAUCAUUUAAAGAAAGCGUAAUAGCUCACUGGUCGAGUCGGCCUGCGCGGAAGAUGUAACGGGGCUAAACCAUGCACCGAAGCUGCGGCAGCGACGCUGAUGCGUUGUUGGGUAGGGGAGCGUUCUGUAAGCCUGCGAAGGUGUGCUG